AAGGAGACGGACUAACCCGGGGAAGACCGUUCAUAUUAAUCCAAUGAUUGGAUCGACAGAUGAAAAGUGAGACCGCGAAUUAGCCAGACAUACGCACGUGGAGGGAAGAUAGAACUGAAGACUAAAUAAAGGGGAUUCCAAAAAUGUAUUUAUUCAUCUUGGACCUAUAACACAAGUGUCUGAUGAAACACGCCAUCACUACCUGCUCACCAAUCCGUCAUGAGUUUGAGGCAGCAAGACAAAGUAGUCUACGAAAAUGUGAACCGGAGGUCGUUUUCUGUCUUUGGUUAUCUAGCUGUAUGAGUGUUAAAUACCUGUCAUAAAGCUAGAUAACCGAAAGUAGAAAUUACUUCCACAUUCUUGUUCCGGUGGAAAAUAAGGCGUAGCGUAUGCCUACAACUAAAUUGGGCCUUUUGACAAGGUUCGCCAAGUUCCACCUCAAAGGUGACUCAUUAACAACAUGGUGUGAUCAAGGAGCACAAAUAGGGGACAGAAUCAUCCAAAAAAGCGAAUGAGGAGGAAAAUUGCCACACAAUACCCCACCCCCUUUGCCCACCGGCCUCUAAUGCCAUCUGUACUGCAAAAUGGGAGACAAGAGACGCCGUGCCUAUGCCAAGAUGGGGACAAAGCCAGAUCUCCAGAGGAUGGGCAUGCUGAGAGCAGAGAGAGGAGCCAUCUUGGGAGACAUUGCUGCAGCACCUAAGAUGGCUGGGCUGGCAUACGACGUUUGGAUGUGAAGUGGUCAGUAGGAAGGGAGAUUCUGCAUACUCUAUUGGUGUUCCUGGUACAGUAUGGACCAAACCACUAAACAACCAUCAGAAUUUUGGAAACCAUCUCUGUCACUGUCAUACAAAGUUUAUACAACCAGAGGACCACGACAAGGAAGAGGGAAGAUUUGUGCAAUUUAGUUUUAUUUGUAUUUUUUGUUAGCAAUAGGGUAAUAGUGUAAUGAUUCAAAUUUCUUUUUUAU